rnacentral:tRNA from 1 species
AGGAUUAUAAUUUUAAUUAAAAAUAUUUAAUUUGCUAUUAAAAAAUAUUGUAAAACAAUUUAUCUUA